rnacentral:lncRNA from 13 species
CACAAAGGUGUGCUGUUGAACAAAAGAAGGAAGCAGAUGAGAAGCUAUGGAAGGCUCUAGAGCAUUUGGGAGGGAGAGGCAGCAGGCCAUUGGAAUUUAAUUCAUCUACUGGGUUCUCCUUGCCAAGGAAUUUCUGGGAAUUUUUCAGUCAUGCUCACAUGUUGUACCACUCUCUCCUGGACGUCACUUGUCACCUCUACCAGUCCUCCUUUCUCCAGAUGGUUUCUUCAUAACCACCAGAAACCCAGAAGAUUCAGAAAGACUCCUUGCUGCUGAUGAGGCAGAGUCCAGAAUGCACAGCAGUUUCUGGAACAUAGCAGAAGCACAAUAAAUGCUUAUCAAGAGGACUGAUGCUCCA